AAGGGAAUGGCAGAUUGGUUAUGUAGUUGAUUUGAAAUCAAAAUAAGGGGGUUCAAUUCCCACUUCCCUGG
rnacentral:tRNA from 1 species